AACGAACGCUGGCGGCAGGCUUAACACAUGCAAGUCGAGCGCCCCGCAAGGGGAGCGGCAGACGGGUGAGCAACGCUUGGUAAUCUACCCAUCUCUACGGAAUAACGCAUGGAAACGUGUGCUAAUACCGUAUACGUCCUUCGGGAGAAAGAUUUAUCGGAGAUGGAUGGGCCCGCGUUGGAUUAGCUAGUUGGUGGGGUAAAGGCCUACCAAAGCGACGAUCCAUAGCUGGUCUGAGAGGAUGAUCAGCCACACUGGGACUGAGACACGGCCCAGACUCCUACGGGAGGCAGCAGUGGGGAAUAUGGGACAAUGGGCGAAAGCCUGAUCCAGCCAUGCCGCGUGAGUGAUGAAGGCCCUAGGGUUGUAAAGCUCUUUCACCGGUGAAGAUAAUGACGGUAACCGGAGAAGAAGCCCCGGCUAACUUCGUGCCAGCCGCCGCAGUAACAC
rnacentral:rRNA from 1 species